UACGGGGGGGGCAAGCGUUGUUCGGAAUUACUGGGCGUAAAGGGCGCGUAGGCGGUCCGCUAAGUUGGAUGUGAAAACUCUGGGCUUAACCCAGAGCCUGCAUUCAAAACUGACGGGCUAGAGUUCUGGAGGGGGUAGCGGAAUUCCUGGUGUAGCGGUGGAAUGCGCAGAUAUCAGGAGGAACACCGGUGGCGAAGGCGGUUCUCUGGGCAUUACCUGACGCUGAGGAGCGAAAGUGUGGGGAGCGAACAGG
rnacentral:rRNA from 1 species